GAUGAACGCUGGCGGCGUGCCUAAUACAUGCAAGUCGAGCGAACAGACGAGGAGCUUGCUCCUCUGACGUUAGCGGCGGACGGGUGAGUAACACGUGGAUAACCUACCUAUAAGACUGGGAUAACUUCGGGAAACCGGAGCUAAUACCGGAUAAUAUAUUGAACCGCAUGGUUCAAUAGUGAAAGACGGUUUUGCUGUCACUUAUAGAUGGAUCCGCUCCGCAUUAGCUAGUUGGUAAGGUAACGGCUCACCAAGGCAACGAUGCGUAGCCGACCUGAGAGGGUGAUCGGCCACACUGGAACUGAGACACGGUCCAGACUCCUACGGGAGGCAGCAGUAGGGAAUCUUACGCAAUGGGCGAAAGCCUGACGGAGCAACGCCGCGUGAGUGAUGAAGGUCUUCGGAUCGUAAAACUCUGUUAUUAGGGAAGAACAAAUGUGUAAGUAACUAUGCACGUCUUGACGGUACCUAAUCAGAAAGCCACGGCUAACUACGUG
rnacentral:rRNA from 1 species